GAGACUUUUAAAACAAAACAAACAGCCCGCAGGAUAUAUAACAAGGAAAGAGAAGAGAGAGCUUUUUUCCUCUCUGCAAUAACUACAGCCUUUGGAGGAGGAAGGUUCUGCGUAAGAAGUCAAGGACUGAAAAAUAAAUUCCUGAUAGUUGAGGAAGCAUCCAGGCACAGCUCUCUGCCUCUGUCUCUGCCUCUGACAGCCAUCAGAGCUCGUUAGGCCUAAAGCCACCGAGAAAUUUUCCUGCUUCCCAGCAACAUACUGUAGUCUUCAUGCCACAGUAUCUCAGAUUUACUCCUGGCAGACAAACUUUUAUCCAUCAUGGAAAUCAUACAGACAGAAGGAAUACGUGCAGGACAGCAUGAGAUUUUGCACUGACCUACCCCAGUGGUCUUCAAAUCUGAUUUGCUCCCUUUUUUGUUGUUUUGUACUGCUGGAGCAUGGACUUUCUGAUAAGUUGAACUGCCACACUGAGCUGGAAUAUGACCUGCGGAUCACAGGCCAGAGCUUGUAAUACCCAGAUGGGCUCUUCCACACUGGUCUCCAAAGUCUAAGCGGGCCUGAUUCAUGCCCAUCCUUCCUCUGCUGGGAUCCAAACAGAUGCUUGCCUAAAAACAUUGGAUGAUGACUGGCACAGGGCUUUGUGAGCAAAUCUGCGACGUGGGCCUACCUGGCUAAAAAAUGCAAAGCUAGCUUACCGAGUACAGCUACUGAAGCAGCAUCCGGGGCUGGGUGAUGUAAGGUCAUGCUACAACACAGAAAGAUGCAAGCGAGCUGAACACCCACCCCAGCAGCACUGGAGUUCCCACCUUGGGAAGAAGCAGUGGGAAGCACAGAGGCACCAACAUGACCUGACCUCCUCCUCUUCUCACCUCUUCACUGUGAGCAUAAUGGGAGAAUCUGGUCUUUUACUUGUCUUGUUUUGGUGACUUGAACUGCGAGCUGGUGGAUUUUGGUUUGGUAGGUUCAUUUUCUUCUUAUUUUAUAUAUAUUCUCCAGAGAAGAGUCUGAAACAGGGAAGAGAGGGAUAAGCACCAGAGUAUAGAAACUUGAAAUUAUUUCCAUAUUUAGACUGCAUGAUAGAGAGCUAGAGCACAUUCAGUGUGCAAUUGGCAUGUGCCAAAUUAUUUUAGGAAGUGUGAAAAAUGCAUGUUGUUAAUAUUGAACAAAUUAUCUUCUGUGGAUGCUGGGGUUUUCACUUUCUGUUCCCAAUAAAUCUUCCUUUCUCUUCA
rnacentral:lncRNA from 1 species